AGGGACCUUUUAUAGAAAACCUUUUGAGUACUACGCACACUGUAUACACGGUUGGAGGAGGUUUUUACAGGGAGCCUCAUGCCCCUGCUACCAUACAAAACAUCUACGCACAGAUCUCAAGUUAACUUCUCCAAAACACAAUUCCCAUGUUGAUGCUGAAGCUGUUUCUAUUGCGUUCCAGAAGAGAGGUUAUUUUGAUGAUACAAAGUCGUGCUCCAGUUCCAAGUCUAAUGAUUCCUUAGAGUUGGUUGACAUUCAAAUUUAGGAUCCUAGUGGUGUUUGGGAAACAGUUCUAUGGAUUUAGAGUCAAGGGGAGAUUUGUUGUAAUAUGCCUCUAAUUCCUUUUAUAUAUUUGGAAUAUGCCUUGUAAUAUGCUUUUCUGUACGCCUAUAAAUAUAAGUCCUCUCUGUAACUUGUAUUCUGCGGUUGAUAAUGGAUUUGUUUCCUCGUGGUUGAUUGCUCCUUCAUAUUGGAGGAGAUUUUUCCACGUAAA